AUCUCUCGCACCCAACCCUCGCACCAUCGACACAACCCUCGUUAGAUUCGGAACCCUCCAUCGGCGCUGCUCCGUCCACGCACUCAGUGGUCUCUGUCUCGGCGUGCCCUCCUACUCCCUCAGUGGUCUCUGUCUCGCAAACCCUCGUUGGAUUCGGAACCUCAAUCGUUGCUCACUCUAUUUCGCAAACCCUCAAUCGCCGAUCCUCCCUCCGUGGUUCAGCACCCGUCGCGUUGCCGUCUCCCUCUCUGAAAUCGUCGCGUCGCCGUCUCCCUCUCCCUCACUCGUCGCACCUUCGUCAGCCAUGUUCAACGUUCGCAGUGCCGUGCUGUGGUAGUGCUCAGCUACUGAUAUGUGGUGCUCAUUCUUUGAGUUUAUUCUUUGCUGAAUCUCGUUUGGCAGAGAAUACCUCUAGAUUUUUUGCAAGGUGACAAAUUUAGAGCAGCAACAGAUAAUUACAUUAGGCCUCUCCUAACUAAGGGAGUUCCAUCUCUUUUCUCUGAUCUUUCGUCUUUGUAUAAUCAGCCUGGGAAGGCAGACAUUUUGGAACAACUUAUUCUUGUAUUUUUUUUCACAGCGC